AUUGAACGCUGGCGGCAUGCCUAACACAUGCAAGUCGAACGAGUGGCGGACGGGUGAGUAAUGUCUGGGAAACUGCCCAAUGGAGGGGGAUAACUACUGGAAACGGUGGCUAAUACCGCAUACCAUCGGAUUGGCCCAUAUGGGAUUAGCUAGUAGGUGGGGUAACGGCUCACCUAGGCGACGAUCCCUAGCGGGUCUGAGAGGAUGACCGGCCACACUGGGACUGAGACACGGCCCAGACUCCUACGGGAGGCAGCAGUGGGGAAUAUUGGACAAGGGGGGAAAGCCUGAUGCAGCCAGCCGGCGUGUAUGAAGAAGGCCUUCGGGUUGUAAAGUACUUUCAGCGGGGAGGCGUUACCUGCAGAAGAAGCACCGGCUAACUACGUGCCAGCAGCCGCGGUAAUAC
rnacentral:rRNA from 1 species